rnacentral:rRNA from 1 species
UACAGAGGUCUCAAGCGUUGUUCGGAAUCACUGGGCGUAAAGGGUGCGUAGGUGGCGUGGUAAGUCAGAUGUGAAAGCCCGGGGCUCAACCUCGGAAUUGCAUCCGAUACUGCCGUGCUAGAGUACUGAAGAGGUGACUAGAAUUCUCAGUGUAGCAGUGAAAUGCGUAGAUAUCGAGAGGAAUACCAACGGCGAAGGCAGGUCACUGGGCAGUUACUGACACUGAGGCACGAAGGCCAGGGGAGCAAACGGG